rnacentral:misc_RNA from 1 species
UCUCUCCACUCACCAGGCUCGGUGCAGAACGCACGGCUGGGGCACGUCACCUCCGUAGUGCCGGCGGCUCCGCCUCAACAAGGAUCAGCAACCAUCACUUUCAUGCUCCGUCUGGCAAUCGCUCGCCGUCAGCUGCAGCGGCAGCUAUACGCGGGCGGCAUCGCGUAUGGUGCGGCCUUCGCAGCUCGUAACGAGCACGACGCCACCGCCUAUCAGAGAGCCACCGCCUUGUACUCGCCUGCCUCCACCUCCAUUCGCCGGCGCAAGUGGCACGUGGAGCGGCAGAAUGCGUACGCGGCGAAGCGCAAGCUAAUGGGCGCCAUGGCACGUAACGAACUCGGUAUGACCAAGUAAUUCGCGCCAUCGGGGCGCUCCUGUGCGUUGUGUCUCCGCACAAAGGUGUAACACUACAGCCACACAGACAUCAAAAACAGCAAAAGGAGAUGAACAAACCAUCUCCCCACACCCCCACCCCAGCCGGCGCCGCGCACACACUCCUCCACGCCGAGCCCCCCUCUGCACGUAGAAGGCCCGGGGGUCUCAGCGAUUUCUUGCGCCUUUUCUCCUCCUCUGCCACCCCGUCCCCCCCCCUCCUUCCUCCCUCUUCUGCUUCUGUGGCGUGCCUGUGCCUCAG